rnacentral:tRNA from 1 species
AGGUCGAUGGUACGGUAAGUUUUUCCGGUCCCUGGAGGACCGUAGAGGAUAGUAUUUUUUGGAAGUUGCGGGGUGCUAACCUUCUCGUCUUGC